rnacentral:snoRNA from 1 species
UAUUAUGAUGAAUGUGUUAUUCACACUGUUUGACCUGGGCACUCUGUGUCCGGGAAUGAACAUUUAUACAAAAAUCUGAUUUAAUGAGGUGGGUU